AGUCACUGCAGAUCUGCAUAUCACCUGGUUACUGAGUCAAGCCCUUUAGUGUUAUUUAACCAAGCAGACUAGCAACAAUCCAUUCACAGAUAGACAAUAUACAGUAAUAGAUCUGUACUGCACUCUUCAAUGAGGAUGGGUAAAGAGAAGAUGAUCAUCAUAUCAUAUUUGUCACGGCAGUGUCCAACAUUUAUUACAGAUCCCGAAUCUGCUGAAGGCAAUGCUGAGAGGUGACAUGAGGACUCCACUGCCCUCUCUGCAGACCAUUUACCAUGGCAUAGUCCAAAGAAGAGCUCCUACCCUCAGGACGGAGGCAUAGGAGUGUAAAUUGUAGGACUUCCAGACUAAGGAACUCCUUCUUGCCCUCAGGUAUUAGUAGACAUCCACAUUCAGAGAUUAGUCAGUUCAACUAUUAUUUCAUUUGAACAGUGUAAUGCUACUGUGGAUAGAAAGUAAGAAUUUCAUUGUUCAGGGAAACUUGCUUUCCUCACUGGGCAUAUGAAAAUAAACACUUUGAAUCUUGAAUUAAAUUGAAAUAAAACCAUUUUGAAAUAAAACCAUUUACUAUUCAUAAUGUUGUCACAAUGUGUGGGUCACAGUGAUCUAAAAGUGUAUCCACACUGCACACUCACGGUUUGCUCAUAUGAAGAUCACAAGCAACAUGAUCUGACGGAAAGUCAUGUUAUAGU